rnacentral:rRNA from 1 species
AUUGAACGCUGGCGGCAUGCCUAACACAUGCAAGUCGAACGAGUGGCGGACGGGUGAGUGAUGUCUGCGAACCUGCCUGAUGGAGGGGGAUCUCUACUGGAAACGGUAGCUAAUACCGCAUACUCUCGGUUGUGCCCUGAGGGGAUUAGCUAGUAGGUGGGGUAAAGGCUCACCUAGGCGACGAUCCCUAGCUGGGCUGAGAGGAUGACCAGCCACACUGGAACUGAGACACGGUCCAGACUCCUACGGGAGGCAGCAGUGGGGAAUAUUGCACAAUGGGCGCAAGCCUGAUGCAGCCAUGCCGCGUGUAUGAAGAAGGCCUUCGGGUUGUAAAGUACUUUCAGCGGGGAGGCGUUACCCGCAGAAGAAGCACCGGCUAACUACGUGCCAGCAGCCGCGGUAAUUC